GUCCAUUUGCCAUCCAAGCGUAGACGUCGAGGAGGCAGCUGGGUAGACAAGUGUGGAACUGGGAACAGAUCUGAUCUGAAGAUAGAAACGUGGGAGUCAUCCAAGAUGGUUUGCAACCAGGGAUGAAACCAACUUGAGCUGCGGUGAAAGUGUGGUGUCUUAACCCCAGCACCACCAGGAUUUACAGCCUCAGCGUUGACUCCAGAUUCAGCCCUUGCCAUCUUGCUCCCCACCUUGAGAGCAGCAGCACCAAAAAUAGCAGCAUGAGUCACUGAAGCAUCGGGCAUCGUCGUCAAGGGCCAGGACGCCUGCUGCGGUGGAGCUUCUGCUUGAUUUCCAGGGACCUGGGGAAGGGAACCCUGGCCAGCUGGCCCCCAUCACUGCCUCCUGGACCCUGGGGGAGAGCUGAGUUCACUAAGAAAUUUGAAGCCUGAACUGGUGGAAAUGUUAAUGUUCAGAAUGGCUUUACCAUGACACUGCAUAAGGACCUCAGGGUCCCUCAUUUGCACCCCUUCUAAAGUUCUAUACUUUUUUUUUUUUACACUGUAUUUUAUUUUUCUUUUCUGAAAGAGGGCUCUCAAAGUUUUAUGUUUCAGGUCUGAGAAAACAAGCAUGGGUUAAUUUUGUUUAAUUCUUAUUGUGACCUUGGGAAACCAUUGGCUUGUCUUCUCUAUUUACAGACAAAGGAUACGAGAGCAGAGAAAAGCCUUCCUUGGGUUCCUGGAAAAUUCCAGGUUUGUUUCAGCCUCAGGGCCUUUGCAGUUCCUAUUGCCCUGUCUUGAACUCUGUCCCUGGCUUGGGGCUUUUACUAAGCAACAACUGCUGGGCCCUCCUUCCCUGCCUCCCUGGUAACUACUCUUUAUCUUUACUUUUUGUUUUCUUUAUGUAGCAUUCACCACUCCAGAAUUAUCUUCAUUUGUGCAUCUACUUCUUUAACAAAUGCUUAUGGUACAUAUUCUGCCAUCAGGCACUGUUGUCAGCUUUAUAAAUAUGAAAUCAUUCAGUCCUCACUACUCUGACACUGAAACUUGUCCAUCCACACUUUAAAAUGAAAGCAACUGAAGCAUGGAGAGGUUAAGCAGAUUGCCAAAAGUCACACAGCUGGUGAGUUACAGUACCACCUGUCUCCCCCACUGGAAGACAAGGUUCACCUGUGCAGAGCCUGUAGCUGAGGCCUGCCCUGCUCACUCAAGAGCCCCUGUACCCAGAGCAGUGUGCCACACAUACAAUCGUACAAACAGGAUAUGAGACAGCAAAGGCCAGGUCACAGAGAAGGAGGGACGGGAGAGAAGCCUGGAGAGAGGCUGUGGGGGAGAUGAUGGAAGGCCUCGAAGGGCCUCAAGCGCUGAAGGACGAGCCGGGCUGGGGGGCAGCAUUGGGACCGGCAGGAGUGUGGUGGUCUGGGCACCGUGCCAAGAAAGGCAGGAUCUUGUUGACAGAUUUAACUUAGCAGGUACCCGUCCUGCCUUUCGCAAGAGGGCAACGAUUUUAAGAAUCGCCCAGGACGCCGCCAGUAGGUGAUCAAGCACCUCAGUGAGGUCUUUUGUUUCCUUCAUCCCCUUACCUCCGAAUAACGGAGGCAGAGACCCUUCAUUAACGGCUAAAAACUCUACUGCACGAAUGUGAACAAUCCCACGCCACGGCCCUCUACCCGCGAGGUUCAGCGAGGGUGUGCAUCUCCACCGAGGAGAUCGGCCAAGAUGAAAUUCCGAGCCAGUCCUACCCGAGCCCCAGCGCCUUCACCAUCACGCGGGAUUUUGGGACACCCAGAACCCAAUACUGGGAUUCAGGGACGGGCCAGGCUGCGCUCCCGAGGCCAAUCCAAACUGUCACCCUCACUGGCUGGGACCCCUGAGCCUGACACUCCGGCGAAGGACCAAGACUCAAUGCCGCCGGAUAGACGCGAACUGUUUCAGACUGACUCGCCGCAGACCGACGGAAGAAGCGGCCCGGGCGGACCCACCAAACCCACACCCUCAGAAACGACCACUGCAGAGCGUGUCUGUGGCCUCAGACUCCCAUAACCCACCGCUGCUGUAAAAACCCUACCCUGCUCUUUGAAGGGCAGCAAUUUAAACCUAUCAGAACAAAGUGUCUGCAACUUACCGACCAAUUGAAAUUUUUUAAAUCUGAAGGCGG
ensembl:lncRNA